AAACUCAAAGGAAUUUACGGGGGCCCGCACAAGCGGUGGAGCAUGUGGUUUAAUUCGACGCAACGCGAAGAACCUUUACCUGGAUUUGACAUCUCGGGAAUUCUUAUGAAAAUAGGAAGUGCCCUUCGGGGAGCCCGAUGACAGGUGCUGCAUGGCUGUCGUCAGCUCGUGUCGUGAGAUGUUGGCUUAAGUCCCGCAACGAGCGCAACCCCUUUCUUUAGUUGCCAGCAUUUGAUUGGGGACUCUAAAGAGACUGCCCCGGUUAACGGGGGGGAAGGUGGGGAUGACGUCAAGUCCUCAUGGCCCUUAUGUCCAGGGCUACACACGUGCUACAAUGGGCUGUACAAAGGGCAGCGAACUCGCGAGUGUAAGCCAAUCCCAAAAAGCAGUCCUCAGUUCGGAUUGGAGUCUGCAACUCGACUCCAUGAAGUUGGAAUCGCUAGUAAUCGUGGAUCAGCAUGCCACGGUGUAUAUACUCCCGGGCAUUGUACACACCGCCCGUCACACCAUGAGAGUUGUCUGUACCCAAAGUUGCUGGGCCAACCCAUUCGGGACGCAGGUACCUAAGGU
rnacentral:rRNA from 1 species